AUUGAAAGCUGGCGGAAUGCUUUACACAUGCAAGUCGAACGGCAGCACGGACUUCGGUCUGGUGGCGAGUGGCGCACGGGUGAGUGAUGUAUCGGAACGUGCCCAGCCGUGGGGGCUAACGUCGUGAAAAUUACGCUAAUACCGCAUACGAUCUAUGGAUUAAAGCGGGGGAUCGCAAGACAUCGCGCGAUUGGAGCGGCCGAUAUCAGACUAGGUAGUGGGGGGUGUAAAAGCCCACCAAGCCAAGGAUCUGUAGCUGUUCUGAGAGGACGACCAGCCACACUGGGACUGAGGCACGGUGCAGGUUCCUACGGGAGGCAAGAGUGGGGUAGUUUGCACGAUGGGCGAAAGCCUGAUUCAGCCGUUCCGCGUGCAGGGUGAAGGCCCUCGGGUUGUAAACUGCUUUUGUGAAGAACGAAAAGGUUUCUACUAAUAUUAGGAGCUCAUGACGGUACUGUAAGAAUAAGCACCGGCUAACUACGUGCCAGCCGCCGCCGUAA
rnacentral:rRNA from 1 species